rnacentral:rRNA from 1 species
UCCUCCCUCGGGGGGCAGCAGUAGGGAAUCUUCCACAAUGGGCGAAAGCCCGAUGGAGCAACGCCGCGUGGGUGAAGAAGGUCUUCGGAUCGUAAAACCCUGUUGUUAGAGAAGAAAGUGCGUGAGAGUAACUGUUCACGUUUCGACGGUAUCUAACCAGAAAGCCACGGCUAACUACGUGCCAGCAGCCGCGGUAAUACGUAGGUGGCAAGCGUUAUCCGGAUUUAUUGGGCGUAAAGAGAACGCAGGCGGUCUUUUAAGUCUGAAGUGAAAGCCUUCGGCUUAACCGGAGU